rnacentral:rRNA from 1 species
CUACGGGUUGCAGCAGUGAGGAAUAUUGCACAAUGGGGGCAACCCUGAUGCAGCAACGCCGCGUGGAGGAUGACGCAUUUCGGUGUGUAAACUCCUUUUAUCAGAGAAGAACCAUGACGGUAUCUGAUGAAUAAGCUCCGGCUAACUCCGUGCCAGCAGCCGCGGUAAUACGGAGGGAGCAAGCGUUAUUCGGAAUCACUGGGCGUAAAGGACGCGUAGGCCGGUCUGUAAGUCAGGUGUGAAAUGCAAUGGCUCAACCAUUGAACUGCACUUGAAACUGCGGACCUAGAGGAUGGAAGGGGCAGAUGGAAUUAGUGGUGUAGGGGUAAAAUCCGUAGAUAUCACUAGGAAUACCGAAAGCGAAGGCGAUCUGCUGGGACAUAACUGACGCUGAGGCGUGAAAGCGUGGGGAGCAAACAGGAUUAGAUACCCGAGUAGUC